UGAACGUUGGCGGCAGGCCUAAUCCUGCAAGUCGAACGGAAACAGCGAGAGCUUGCUCUCGGCUGUCGAGUGGCGGACGGGUGAGUAACGCGUAGGAAUCUACCUAGUAGUGGGGGACAACUCGGGGAAACUCGAGCUAAUACCGCAUACGCCCCUCCUCAUUAGAGGAGGAGGAAAGCGGGGGAUCUUCGGACCUCGCGCUAUUAGAGGAGCCUGCGUCGGAUUAGCUAGUUGGUGAGGUAAAGGCUCACCAAGGCAACGAUCCGUAGCUGGUCUGAGAGGACGAUCAGCCACACUGGAACUGAGACACGGUCCAGACUCCUACGGGAGGCAGCAGGAGGGAAUAUUGGUCAAUGGGCGCAAGCCUGAACCAGCCAUGCCGCGUGUGUGAAGAAGGCUUUCGGGUUGUAAAGCACUUUCAGCAGCGAAGAAAGGCCGGGGGUUAAUACCCCCUUGGUUUUGACGUUAACUGCAGAAGAAGCACCGGCUAACUCCGUGCCAGCAGCCGCGGUAAU
rnacentral:rRNA from 1 species